rnacentral:rRNA from 1 species
CCUACGGGAGGCAGCAGUGAGGAAUAUUGGUCAAUGGGCGAAAGCCUGAACCAGCCAUGCCGCGUGCAGGAAGACUGCCCUAUGGGUUGUAAACUGCUUUUAUACAGGAAGAAACACUCCCUCGUGAGGGAGCUUGACGGUACUGUAUGAAUAAGCACCGGCUAACUCCGUGCCAGCAGCCGCGGUAAUA